rnacentral:lncRNA from 13 species
AUGCGCUCAGCGGCGGGGCGGCGGGCGGGACCCGGCGGGGGCGCGGCCCGGGACGGCCCCCAUCUCGGCGGUGGCGGCUCGGCGGCCCGGAGGCGGGCUCGGGGCAGGCCGCGGGGACGCCGCGGGGGCCCGGCCGCCACCUCCCACCCGCCCGCUCCGCGUGGACGCGGCUCCGGGCCGACUCCGGCCGGCUCUGGCGGCUGCAGCGGCCACGACCGCUUCCCGAGCCGGAACCCGAGCCCAGAGCGCCGAAGCCCAGGCCCGAGCGCCCCCGCCGGCCGCGCCCGGAAGUGCGGGGGCGGGGCCGGGGCGCGGGGACGAGGUGCGAGCGCGGGGCGGGGCCUCGGCUCGGGGCGGAGCCGGCAGCGAGGGGGCGAGGUAAAGAGCGUGGGGCGGGGCUUCAGGCACUGGACGGGACUGAAAGCGCGAGGACACGGUGAGGAUCGUGGGGCGGGGCCGACAGCGAGGGGACCAGGUGAGGAGCGCGGGGCGGGGCCGGGACGCGGGGCGGGGCCGGAAGCGAGAAGACGAGGUGAAGAGCGCGGGGCGGGGCCUCGGACCUCGGGCGGGGGCCGGGGAGUGGGGCGGGGCCUCGGGCACGGGACGGCGCUAGGGAGUAAAGCGGGACCCGCCUCGAGCAGACGAGGUAAGAGCGUGGGGCGGAGCCUCGGGCGCUGUGCGAGACCGGAAGCGAGAGGACGAGGUGAGAAACAUGGGGCGGGGCCUCUGCGUGGGCUGGGACAUGGGCGUGGUCAGUGCCUGCCGGGGGCGGGGCGCGGCGGGGACCAGGUCGCGAGGUCUUCCCCAGGGGCGGCGCGGAAGCGGAGUCGGGGCGGUCGUGGCGGCGGCGAGUGCGGAGUGGGCGAGGCGCCGCUGCAGGUGCUUGGAAUGGCUGCGGCCGUGGGGAGCGCUGGGCUGACUGCCCGCCCCGACGGGCGCUCGCGGGACGCAGCCCUUCUCUGCCGCCGGUACAUCAGAUGCCAGUCAGGGGGCUGCAGGCCUCGGAGCUGCGGGCGCAGCCGGGCCUGGACAGAAAUCCCCCGCAGGAACCACCACGGUCUGUCCGCGGCCAUGAGGGAGCCGACUCCCAGGAGUGGGGCGGUUGGCGGGCAGGGCUGGCGAGGGCACUGGGAAGGUGGGCUAGGCUCCACCCUCCUGAGUCCCGAGGCAGCCGGGACUCAGACAGCGCCAGGGCACACAGUAGGCCCCAGUAUAUGCUAG